rnacentral:lncRNA from 1 species
UCGUGAUUUACAGGAGCCAAGAAAAGGGCUCUUACAAAGCCCUAAAACUCACAAGAAAUCCAACAAAAAUCGAAGAUAGAACAAGCUAAAAAUUGGGGCUUUAAAUAAAUUUGUGAUCACCCAAGCUAGAAGAUUGCAAGUUUGACUCUGACAAGCUAGGUAGGAGCUUGGAAAUGAACGGGUCAAAUGGAUACAAGUUCAAGUAUGAAGCUCGCAAGGAUGCAAGGUAAAUGAUAUCGGCUAUCCAGAUGAAGAUCAAGCGCCUAACAAGAACCGAACACACGAUAAAUGAAGCUUCCGCAUUUGAGUUUAAACCUUGUUAUCAAAAAGUGAACUAUGUAAACACUGAUAACAUGGUUUUUGGAACGUUUUAAACAUGUCUGAAUAUUUUGAUGUAAAAGUUUUCGUUGAGUCGCAUUUUUGUUAUAAAAUGCGUACUU